rnacentral:rRNA from 1 species
UCGAAACCUGCAAAGCAGACCCGCGAACGUGUGUUUAACCACCGGGGGCGCCGAGGCGAGGGCAACCGAGCCUCGUCCCCCGCUCGCCCGUUCGGCGCUCGUGUCGUUCGGGCCAACGAACCCCGGCGCGGAAAGCGCCAAGGAAAACGAAACAAGAAGCGUCCGUCCCCCCGCUGCCCCGUUCGCGGGUGCCUGCGGGGGAACGAGGCCUCUCUUUAAAUGUCAAAACGACUCUCGGCAACGGAUAUCUCGGCUCUYGCAUCGAUGAAGAACGUAGCGAAAUGCGAUACUUGGUGUGAAUUGCAGAAUCCCGUGAACCAUCGAGUCUUUGAACGCAAGUUGCGCCCGAAGCCAUUAGGCCGAGGGCACGUCUGCCUGGGCGUCACGCAUCGCGUCGCCCCCUCCCCAUCCCGCCAAGGGAUGCCAGGACGGGGGCGGAAAUUGGCCUCCCGUGCGCGCGAGCCCGCGGCCGGCCCAAAUGGGAUCCCACGUCGACGGAUGUCACGACCAGUGGUGGUUGGAAUCUCAACUCGCGUGCUGUCGUGCACGGCUCCGUCGAUCGCUCGGGCAUCGUCGAGACCCAACGGUGCGUAACUGUGCCUUCGAC